rnacentral:rRNA from 1 species
AUUGAACGCUGGCGGCAUGCCUUACACAUGCAAGUCGAACGGUAACAGGUCUUCGGAUGCUGACGAGUGGCGAACGGGUGAGUAAUACAUCGGAACGUGCCCGAGAGUGGGGGAUAACGAGGCGAAAGCUUUGCUAAUACCGCAUACGAUCUCAGGAUGAAAGCAGGGGACCGCAAGGCCUUGCGCUCAUGGAGCGGCCGAUGGCAGAUUAGGUAGUUGGUGGGAUAAAAGCUUAACAAGCCGACGAUCUGUAGCUGGUCUGAGAGGACGACCAGCCACACUGGGACUGAGACACGGCCCAGACUCCUACGGGAGGCAGCAGUGGGGAAUGUUGGACAAUGGGCGCAAGCCUGAUCCAGCCAUGCCGCGUGCAGGAUGAAGGCCUUCGGGUUGUAAACUGCUUUUGUACGGAACGAAAAGACUCCUUCUAAUAAAGGGGGUCCAUGACGGUACCGUAAGGAUAAGCACCGGCUAACUACGUGCCAGCAGCCGCCGUAACAC